UAUAUUUGAUUAAUCGUAACCAAAGGCUAAGGAGAGGAACUGAGCUCGCCAAGUAAAAUAAUUGUCUGAAGUGAGUCUUAUAGGAAGUUGAGUUGCGGUAUUGAUUGAGAUGUAACCAAAGGAAAGAUUUGCCACUUGGUUGGAGUGAUUAAGGAAAUUGCUGACUGAUCACUAGACGUAGUGAUAUGAUAUUUGUUGGAUUGGUUUUUCUCUUUAGAAAUACCUGCUCUGAUACCAUAAAGAAAUUGCGAAAAGACUUGAUUUCAUUAAACAAGAUCAUUACAAUUUAUAGACAUAAGCAAGGACUCAUAAUAAAGUGUGCUAACUCUAGAGAUAACUAUCAACAUAGAUAAAGGAGGUUAUUUACAUGAUAAGCGCUACUAUUGGAUAUAUACAAGAAAUAAUAAAAUAAACAUGCGAUAAUGAUCAUGACUCAAGAUCGGUAUUGCAUGGGCUGCAUGGGUGAGACCAUUUGGGUAUUAAUUACAAGCAUAUCAUAUCCAAUUCAGUCUAUGAUUCAUCUUUCAACACUUCUUUGUCUAAGAAGGAUCUUUAUUUUCAUCUUCGUCGCAAGCGCAUCAUCGUCAAUAAUGGAUCUAUCGUAAUUCAAACUUGACUAUGGUUUUCUUUUUCUUUUUUCUAUUUUUUAAAUGUACAUAUCAAAUUUAUAUACUAAGCAUACGUUAUAUAUUAAUUAAGCUAUUAAUUUUAGUGUGUGAUUGAUCUGCUGGUUAAACUAGAAUAUGGAUCUUUAGUCAUUGAUCCAAAUGAGAAAUUGGUUAAAUUAAGAAUCUUUUUUGUUUCAACCAAAAUUUGGAUUGGCUGGUCUAUAAUUGAUUUUGAUUCUUAAUUUGUGACGGAAUUUAUUUUUCCCUGACUUUGCGCAAAGUAAGAACCAUAAAUUGCUCUGUUUUUGCUCCAGUUAUUCAAUUUUUUUAAUGAAAUGACUAAGUUAAAACACAAUGGAUGAUGACUUGUUGCCCAUUGAAGUAUGCGAUAAAUGACUCGCUAAAUGAUAAGGUAUCACUAUUUCUAGCAACUAAGCUCUUAUUGAGGUUUCACAACUAUGGUAGCGUUUACAUUUUGGAUUAGAAUAACAAUCCUGAGAAGUGGGAAUCCUAGGAUUGAGAGAGUUGAGUGAGAGUGAGUGUAGGUUGUUUACUUACACUUAAAUGAAAGCAUAAAAUGGAGAUCAGAAACCAAUUUAUGUGUUUACUUUGUCUUGGAUUGGGAGUAAAUAAUUUCAAAUUAUAAUUUUACCCUUAUUUA
rnacentral:lncRNA from 1 species